CAUAAACUCUGAAAACAGUGCAUCUUCAUGUCUUAAUCAAAAUUAAAGAUUGUCUGUCCAGGUUAUGGAAUACAGCAACAUGACUUUGUAGAUAAUGAUGCACUAACACAAUUCUUUAAGUUAUUUUACAGAUAUUGAAGUUUAACUUUUUGUUUCAUGUUAUUCUUUCGGGACUGAUUCCAGUAAGAGGUAGUUUACUGCUACAGGCUCAGACUAUUUUCUGUCAAUAUCUAUUGUAUAGACUUUCCCAGAUCUACCUUUUGUAACAUGUGUAUUGUAAACUAAUAUUGUAAUUGAAUCUGUCUUUCUUUCAGAAGGUUUGUUGACAGUUUUGUUGUUGUUGUGUUUUUUAUUUUUGCCCUCUUGAAGCCAGCCAGCCUCGGCAGAUGGCUGCUCAUCCUGAGCCUGGUUCUGCUGGAGGUUUCUUCCUUUUAAAGGGAGUUUUCCUCUCCACUGUUGCCUUGUGCUUGCUCAGGAUGGGGGAUCCCUUGGAUUAAACAUCCAUCGCGAUCUGCUGGUGACCCCUCCGCAGAAUCGCCACCUUAACGUGGUGGAGGGGUUUGAGUAUCCCCAUGACCCAGAUGGAGAUUUUGUCUUGGGGUUCAGCCAAUAGUGAGGCUUCCCAGGGUAGGCUGCCAUUGGGGAGGGAUCAGACUAAGAGCGAUUCAAGGUUUUCAGUGAAGGGCUACCAAAGGAAUCAGGUAUUUCUAGGACACAGACAGUUAUCCCAAGUACGGUUUUGCCGGAAGUUUCUCCCUAUAAAAAGUACCAGAAUGCGAGGCUCCUAAAGUCACAUGGGGACUUUGGUCUAUUUGGGCCAACGAGUGAGCAGUGUGAGACAAGUGGAGAUUUGAGACAGACACACAGGCAUGGAAGGUUCUGGCUCAAUACUUGGAGAGGAGCCACUCACCCACACUUGAAGGUCCACACCUUGGAGCAGUUGCCUACACCUGAAGGGGCCAAUGGGUCCAUGUUUGAAGGAGAACUGCACACGACAGAGGGCCAGAAGGAGGCGUGCACAUGUCAGUUCAGUGGUUCAAAAUGCCUGGGCUUCUGCCUACAUUCUCUGGACUUGUGUUUUAAAAAUAAAAGCCUCUAAAUUACUUCAAA